rnacentral:snoRNA from 2 species
UUGGCAGAUGAUGAGAAGUAAAGACAAUUGCAUCUGAUGUGCUCCUAGUUCAUGGGGGCACAAUGGCAUGAUGACUUUGUCUAGGGGAAUCUCUGAUGCUAA